AAUGGGGGUGAAUCUCAGUUUAGCUUAACAAAUUCUAGACCAAAUAGUGCAAAAUUCUUGUAUAACGAGCAGAGUUUAGAAGCAUUAAAUAAUGAGCUUAAUAUACUAUGAUUGGUGAAAUAUAUAAUAUCGUAAACAUGUAAUAAAUGCAGGAAAUGAUUUGGAUUAUAGUGUAAAAGAACUGUCACCCAAUGAAUGUGUGAUAGGGUGCUUCCUUUCUCCGACGUCGUGGAAAAAUGUUCAAUCAAUAUGUGUAUGGGAUCUCGAGAAUUAUGAAUAAAGGUUGAACAACAUAUGCUUGAAUGGAAGGAAUAAGACAACUCUGCCGUAUAUUUUUCUUUGAACUUUACAAUGUCUAUUAGUUCUCGAAAAGGCAGAUCCCCUCAUCGUUCACUAUCUCCUCCUAUUUAUAAGGGGCAUUCCCCAAAAACCCUUAAAAAGUACAACAUGAAGAAUAUAUAUCGAAGUUUAAGUUACCGUUAUUGACUUAUCUCAGCUGCCUGCUUCUAGUUGCCGGCCUUCAUUUGAACAACCGUCGGUCGUUGUGAUGUGGUCGACCCCGUCAUAUGUCUUGCUUACCCGUUACCGUUGUUACCAAAUUUGGACAUAUGCAGUACUAUACUUAGAAAAUUUUAAAAGGUUCCACGAAUAUUUUGCAAGCUUGCACUUAAGUGUGUGAUCUGGUUAUGAAUGAAGUGGGUGUAAACCUUUGUGAUUAGGAUUCAAAUCUGAUAUAAAUAGAAAAUAUUAGAUGAUUAUUUCAUUCCCCUAUUUUGGUCGUUAAAGUUAUUUGAUAUCUGUACUAACAGGAGGUAGCAGGUACCCCAAGAAAUCAGAGGCAAAUUUGGAAUUUCUAGAAUGCACUAACAAGAGGUAGCAGGUACCCCAAGAAAUCAGACGCAAAUUUGGGAUUUCUAAAACAUGGGUGCACCACUAAAGAAAAAAGAAAAAAGUAUUAAGUAAGAAUUGAACUCUAUUCUUUGGGUAAGUAACUCAACAUUCUAUUAAGUGCACCAGUUGACCUUUUUGGAGUAUGAGGACAAUCAUAUAGUAUUAGAUCAAUUCAAAAAUAUGUACAUAAAUAAUUUAAUUUGACAGCAAGACUAUGAAUUCACGUGCCAGGGCACUAGAUUCUCCCCUUGCGGAAAUAGUCGAAGUUGUGCAAGCUAACCCAAUCUCUACCGGCUUAUUAGCUAAAUUUUAAUGGAAUCUUGUUCACGUAUUUUUUCUUCUUAUCAAAAGUGUACCAACAGUUAGAGUAUCCAAGGCGUACAACAAUUCUUUAUGAAUGAACAAUCGAAAUGUUUUUGGAGAAUCUUCAAAAUUAAAUAUUAAUCUUGAGUGGUAAAAUGCUUAGAGACUGAAGAAAGACCUCUGGGAAGAAUGGAUAAUUGCAUCAGAACACCAACAUUAUAAAAAGUGAAAAAUAUUUUAAUUGGCAAAUAAAUUAUUUAUGGAUAUGGAGAUUAUAACGUUUCUUAAAAUAUGUUAGCGUGUUGAAUAGGGUGGCAGAGGGGUCCCUAGGAC
rnacentral:lncRNA from 1 species